rnacentral:rRNA from 1 species
UACGGGGGGUGCAAGCGUUGUUCGGAUUUACUGGGCGUAAAGGGCGCGUAGGCGGCCGCCGAAAGUCGAUGGGGAAAUCUCCGGGCUUAACCCGGAAAGGUCAACCGAUACUGCGGGGCUAGAGUGCAGAAGGGGCAACUGGAAUUCUUGGUGUAGCGGUGAAAUGCGUAGAUAUCAGGAGGAACACCUGCGGCGAAGGCGGGUUGCUGGGCUGACACUGACGCUGAAGUGCGAAAGCUAGGGGAGCAAACGGG